AGCGAACGCUGGCGGCAGGCCUAACACAUGCAAGUCGAGCGCCGUAGCAAUACGGAGCGGCAGACGGGAGAGUAACACGUGGGAACGUACCCUUUGGUUCGGAACAACCCAGGGAAACUUGGGCUAAUACCGGAUAAGCCCUUACGGGGAAAGAUUCAUCGCCGAAGGAUCGGCCCGCGUCUGAUUAGCUAGUUGGUGGGUAAUGGCCCACCAAGGCGACGAUCAGUAGCUGGUCUGAGAGGAUGAUCAGCCUCACUGGGACUGAGACACGGCCCAGACUCCUACGGGAGGCAGCAGUGGGGAAUAUUGGACAAUGGGCGCAAGCCUGAUCCAGCCAUGCCGCGUGGGUGAUGAAGGCCCUAGGGUUGUAAAGCCCUUUCGGCGGGGAAGAUAAUGACGGUACCCGCAGAAGAAGCCCCGGCUAACUUCGUGCCAGCCGCCGCGGUAAUAC
rnacentral:rRNA from 1 species